UUUUGGUCUUAGCCUCAAGUGCAAUGCCUGGGUCAUCAUGUGGACAUUUUUCAUGUUUGUUCAUUUAUUUGUGUGCAAUUUGUUGUCCCGUUUCAUUUCACAGGUUUGGCACUCGUUGAUUGCUCUACCAGUUUGGAGACGAUAGGUGUGCUAAAGCUGGAGGUUGAUUUGGGUUGUUGUAUUGUGCUGGCAAAUAAGAAGCCACUUACAUCUGGAACUGAAGAUUAUGAGAAGCUAGUCUCAAACUUGCGUCGCGUUCGAUAUGAAUCAACUUUGAGCUAAAGUCAGUUCUUCAAAUCUUAUAUGAAAUGGGAUGUGCUCCAGCGAUAUUGAUACCUCCGUAAGCUAAUGAUGGCACCUGGUAGAUAUGGGGCCCACAUGUAUGCAGGCCAUCCAACUCAUUCAUCAGAAGGUCACCUCAUGCUACUAUAUUCUGGGUUUUGAUAGUCUUCUUUCAAAAGUUCACUCUAACACUAAAUUGCGCAGGUUAUCAUGGCUCGUGAGUGCUUUGAUGAUACUAAGGGAGUUGUGCUGGUUAAAAGUUUGGCUGCCAAGGAAUCAUCCGCUCUUGCCUUGGAUACUUAUUACAAGUAGUAUUAUCUUUGUUUGGCUGCUGCUGCUGCUUAUAUCAAAUGGUAUGCUAUUGAUAUAAUGCAAUCUGUGUGCCUUAAGGAAGUUGGUGCAAAUGCAAUAGACCCUUUGGCAGGGGAAACUACUUGUAUACAACUGAUUUUCGGGGGUUACCUUCGAUCUAAGGCCUUCUCCAGCCCUUCAGGCAUCUAAUUCAAGCCCAACAGCAGUAGCAGCAGCACCACCAAUACUUCCAGCACAGAAUUAACAGCUCAUGACAUGUACCAGACUGCCUUGGAAGUGGUGCUGAAGGAAGAGAUUUUCGUCCCUCUCAUACGGAAGAGAUUUUCGUCCCUCUCAUACGGACACAACGUCCACAUCACUGCAGUGGAUCAUGGUGAACCUGGUGAAGCAUCAGGAUGUGCAGACCAAGCUGGUGAAAGAGAUCGAUUGGGUUGUGGGGGAUGGACGAGAAGACAUUGAAGAGGAGGAUUUGCAGCGGAUGUCAUAUCCGAAGGCAGUGAUCAUUCUAGAAAAGAGCAAGGAUUUGUUGGAUUAUAGAAGCCUGGAAAUGAAAUAUUGUAUUGAAAUUGAAAAUUGGAAUUAAAAUUGAAAUGUGUACUAGAAAAGAAGGAAAAGAUUAUUAUGUGUGUGAAUCAUUCUAUUGUCUUUUUCUAUUUGUGUAAUUAUCUGGCAUGUAAUACAAGUAGAUUACAUACCCCA